UCGAACGCUUCUUUCCUCCCGAGUGCUUGCACUCAAUUGGAAAGAGGAGUGGCGGACGGGUGAGUAACACGUGGGUAACCUACCCAUCAGAGGGGGAUAACACUUGGAAACAGGUGCUAAUACCGCAUAACAGUUUAUGCCGCAUGGCAUAAGAGUGAAAGGCGCUUUCGGGUGUCGCUGAUGGAUGGACCCGCGGUGCAUUAGCUAGUUGGUGAGGUAACGGCUCACCAAGGCCACGAUGCAUAGCCGACCUGAGAGGGUGAUCGGCCACACUGGGACUGAGACACGGCCCAGACUCCUACGGGAGGCAGCAGUAGGGAAUCUUCGGCAAUGGACGAAAGUCUGACCGAGCAACGCCGCGUGAGUGAAGAAGGUUUUCGGAUCGUAAAACUCUGUUGUUAGAGAAGAACAAGGACGUUAGUAACUGAACGUCCCCUGACGGUAUCUAACCAGAAAGCCACGGCUAACUACGUGCCAGCAGCCGCGGUAAUACGUAGGUGGCAAACGUUGUCCGGAUUUAUUGGGCGUAAAGCGAGCGCAGGCGGUUUCUUAAGUCUGAUGUGAAAGCCCCCGGCUCAACCGGGGAGGGUCAUUGGAAACUGGGAGACUUGAGUGCAGAAGAGGAGAGUGGAAUUCCAUGUGUAGCGGUGAAAUGCGUAGAUAUAUGGAGGAACACCAGUGGCGAAGGCGGCUCUCUGGUCUGUAACUGACGCUGAGGCUCGAAAGCGUGGGGAGCAAACAGGAUUAGAUAUCCUGGUAGUCCACGCCGUAAACGAUGAGUGCUAAGUGUUGGAGGGUUUCCGCCCU
rnacentral:rRNA from 1 species